rnacentral:rRNA from 1 species
CGUAGGUGAACCUGCGGAAGGAUCAUUACCACACCUAAAAAACUUUCCACGUGAACCGUUUCAACCCAAUAGUUGGGGGUCUUAUUUGGCGGCGGCUGCUGGCUUAAUUGUUGGCGGCUGCUGCUGAGUGAGCCCUAUCAAAAAAAAAGGCGAACGUUUGGGCUUCGGCCUGAUUUAGUAGUCUUUUUUCUUUUAAACCCAUUCCUUAAUACUGAAUAUACUGUGGGGACGAAAGUCUCUGCUUUUAACUAGAUAGCAACUUUCAGCAGUGGAUGUCUAGGCUCGCACAUCGAUGAAGAACGCUGCGAACUGCGAUACGUAAUGCGAAUUGCAGGAUUCAGUGAGUCAUCGAAAUUUUGAACGCAUAUUGCACUUCCGGGUUAGUCCUGGAAGUAUGCCUGUAUCAGUGUCCGUACAUUAAACUUGACUUUCUUCCUUCCGUGUAGUCGGUGGAGGAGAUGUCAGAUGUGAAGUGUCUUGCGAUUGGUCUUCGGACCGGCUGCGAGUCCUUUUAAAUGUACUAAACUGAACUUCUCUUUGCUCGAAAAGUGGUGGCGUUGCUGGUUGUGAAGGCUGCUAUUGUGGCAAAUUGGCGACUGGUUUGUCUGCUGCGGCAUUAAUGGAAGAGUGUUCGAUUCGUGGUAUGGUUGGCUUCGGCUGAACAAUGCACUUAUUGGACGUUUUUCCUGCUGUGGCGUGAUGGACUGGUGAACCAUAGCUCGGUGGCUUGGCUUUUGAAUUGGCUUUGCUGUUGCGAAGUAGGGUGGCAGCUUCGGUUGUCGAGGGUCGAUCCAUUUGGGAACUUAAUGUGUACUUCGGUAUGCAUCUCAAUUGGACCUGAUAUCAGGCAAGAUUACCCGCUGAACU